UUUUCUUUGAAAAGUUAUUAGAAGAUGACUUCAGGAAUGGAAAGCCGAAGCUAAGAUGGUUGAUGUUGACAAGUUUGACCUCUGCUGCUAGCCUGCUUUUACUUGCAGCCCUCAAGGGAAGACAACAAUCAUUCAGGCUUUUCAUGGGAUAGACUUGGUUGCAAAGUUGUGAAUGCAUCAUCGGUUAUACGAGGUAACCAGGUAAAGUGAAAGAGGUAAGAUCUUUUAAACCCUGGGCCAUUAUAACGGUCGUAAGAAACAAAAGAAGAAAGCUAAGUGAUUGAAGGUAUCUUUCGUGUUAAAAUCUAAUCAAUAAUACAUUAAACUGGAUGAAAAUGACAUUUGAUAGGAUCUGAUCAAUGAGCUUCUAAACCCCUUCCAACUACUCAAAUAUUUAAAUGGCAAGUGAGUAUACCAUUACUUCUACAGUUGGUUUUCGUAAUUAAGAAAAAAACAUCAUUUUGAAGCAUUCUGAAUAUCAUUUUGAAGUUUUGAGAAGGUUUUUCUGUAAGUGUAAAGGAAAAGCUUUCAGACACUCUGUUUUGUCCAAAUUUACUAAUCUAGUUAUGCGAAAGGAACGCUUUCUAAGUUCUCGAUGGCAAAAACCGAUGAGGUUCAGGAAGGGCUUUGGAAUUUUGAUAUGCCAUGACCAGUAUCUUAUAUCUUAAAUGUUUUUGAAAGCAUAUAAGUGCUUACAAUUUUUUGGAUACACAAGACCAACUUGUUUUCAAGCUUAUUUUGAGAGGAAAAAGUGUGUUGUUUUAAAGCACCUUCAGAGAAGGUAGUUGACUAACAACGCAAUAAGUACUUUGAAACAUGCAAUCCAAACACCCUUUGAUAACAAAAUGAAACUCUAAUUUGUGUUUCAGAUAAAGAUAUUCAGUUUCUGAUUCUGAUUAUUCUAUAGUCAGCUUCAUAUAAUAGGCUAAAGUUAAACAAAUUAACCUAUAUUCCUCUCCUUCCCACCUUUUUUUUUUUGUGUCUCCCAAAUAAAACCUGCAAGGAAAAGAAAAACAACACAAGCGCACAUCUUAAAGCACACAUUAUAUGAAUCAUACUUUAAAGGUUAAAACUGUUAUAGGGAUAAACACAUUUGGUUUUGAUUCUUCAAGGAAUUUGAGAUGAUUCUUUGCACGAAUAAUUCACGUUGACAUCGUUCAAUCUCUCUGAGAUUGUGAUAUUUGGUUAGUGUAUAUGUUCCUAUUAAUCAUGUGUAUACAUGUUUGCUCCUGCAGUCCUGCUAUGUUACGUUAGUAAUGUGGUUUUGAUUUAUUUCAUCCUAUUUUUCCUGUUUUUUGAAUCUCGAUCAUAACCCAAAACGAAGACAUGAAAAUCCAUAUUUAUCAUUUUGUUAUGGGUAGAGCCACGUGAUUGACUGAGGUAAAUGUUUGGAAUUGUUGCAACGACUAUUUGGGCAUCAUUAUGAUCCUCCUUUUACAAGGUUGACGCGGUAAUUAUUGCUGUUGCUCACUUGUAUAUUUAGACAGAAGUUGUUUCCCAAAGUUGGUGGAACUUACAUAAAGAGAUGCCAGCCUGAACUCUUGAUCAUGUUUCUCAAUGGAACAUGUAUGUAAUUGUAUAUCAUUUUGCAUAAUUUUGUUUGAUUAGAAGUUGAAUGACGAGGCAUCAAAGGGGUUGAAAGCCCACUUUUUAGCAA